GUGCGGGACAGCCCGCGCUCCCCGCGCCGGGACUCCCUCUGAGGAGAAAACCGACGGGAAAGGGAUCCUGCAUGGAGCGCCGCACCCCGCGCUGACGGCUUCCCUUUCGUUUCGGAGUUCUCCAUCACACGGGUCUUCCAUCAAAUUAUCUUCUACAACUGCGUGGAAAAUUAAAGUCCCUGUUUCGCAGAAAUUUUCAUAAAUUCUGACUAUAUAAGAACAAGGAAAAAAAACCUCCUCAAAACCCAACGAAAAGGCAUCGCUGAGCAGCGGGACCGGGAAGCAGAGCGAAAGCCCCCAGCCCUGCACCCGCAGCAGUAAUUCCAGCUUUGUUCGUGGGCUUUUACUCGCAAAUAUCACAUUAAAGGUUUGUUGCUUCUC